rnacentral:rRNA from 1 species
CUACGGGGUGCAGCAGUGGGGAAUAUUGCACAAUGGGCGAAAGCCUGAUGCAGCAACGCCGCGUGGAGGAUGACACAUUUCGGUGCGUAAACUCCUUUUAUAUAAGAAGAUAAUGACGGUAUUAUAUGAAUAAGCACCGGCUAACUCCGCGCCAGCAGCCGCGGUAAUACGGGGGGUGCAAGCGUUACUCGGAAUCACUGGGCGUAAAGAGCAUGUAGGCUGGAUGACAAGUUGGAAGUGAAAUCCUAUGGCUUAACCAUAGAACUGCUUCCAAAACUGUCUUCCUAGAGUAUGGGAGAGGUAGAUGGAAUUUCUUGUGUAGGGGUAAAAUCCGUAGAGAUCAGAAGGAAUACCGAUUGCGAAGGCGAUCUACUGGAACAUUACUGACGCUCAGAUGCGAAAGCGUGGGGAGCAAACAGGAUUAGAUACCCCCGUAGUC